UACGGAGGGUGCAAACGUUGCUCGGAAUCAUUGGGCGUAAAGCGCGCGUAGGCGGUUUGGUUAGUCGGGUGUGAAAUCCCUCGGCUUAACCGAGGAAGAGCAUCCGAAACUACCGAGCUAGAGUACCGGAGAGGGCGACGGAAUUCCCGGUGUAGAGGUGAAAUUCGUAGAUAUCGGGAGGAACACCAGCGGCGAAGGCGGUCGCCUGGACGGAUACUGACGCUGAGGCGCGAAAGCGUGGGGAG
rnacentral:rRNA from 1 species